rnacentral:rRNA from 1 species
AGCAGCCGCGGUAAUUCCAGCUCCAAUAGCGUAUAUUAAAGUUGUUGCAGUUAAAAAGCUCGUAGUUGAAUUUUAGGCCUGGCCGGGCGGUCCGUCUUUGGCGAGUUCUGUUCUGUGUCGGGUCAUCCUUCUGGUGAACCAGUAUGUCCUUUAUUGGGUGUGCCGGGGAGCCAGGACCAUUACCUUGAAAAAAUUAGAGUGUUUAAAGCGGGCAUUUGCUUGAAUAGAUUAGCAUGGAAUAAUAGAAUAGGACGUUGUGGUUCUAUUUUGUUGGUUUCUAGGACCACCGUAAUGAUUAAUAGGGAUAGUUGGGGGCAUUAGUAUUCAAUUGUCAGAGGUGAAAUUCUUGGAUUUAUUGAAGACUAACUACUGCGAAAGCAUUUGCCAAGGAUGUUUUCAUUAAUCAAGAACGAAAGUUAGGGGAUCGAAGACGAUCAGAUACCGUCGUAGUCUUAACCAUAAACUAUGCCGAUAGGAAUCGGGCGACGUUAUUUUCAUGACUCGCUCGGCGCCUUANGGG